rnacentral:rRNA from 1 species
UCGNGUUUUUCAGCAAGAUCGUGCCAGCAGCCGCGGUAAUACAUAGGGUGCAAGCGUUGUCCGGAAUUAUUGGGCGUAAAGAGCUCGUAGGUGGUUCGUCACGUCNGAUGUGAAACUCUGGGGCUUAACCCCAGACCUGCAUUCGAUACGGGCGAGCUUGAGUAUGGUAGGGGAGUCUGGAAUUCCUGGUGUAGCGGUGGAAUGCGCAGAUAUCAGGAGGAACACCAAUGGCGAAGGCAGGACUCUGGGCCAUUACUGACACUGAGGAGCGAAAGCGUGGGGAGCGAACAGGAUUAGAUACCCUGGUAGUCCACGCCGUAAACGGUGGGCACUAGUUGUGGGGACCUUCCACGGUCUCUGCGGCGCAGCUAACGCAUUAAGUGCCCCGCCUGGGGAGUACGAUCGCAAGAUUAAAACUCAAAGGAAUUGACGGGGCCCCGCACAAGCAGCGGAGCAUGCGGCUUAAUUCGGCGCAACGCGAAGAACCUUACCAAGGCUUGACAUAUACNGGAAUAUGGCAGAGAUGUCAUAGCCGCAAGGUCUGUAUACAGGUGGUGCAUGGCUGUCGUCAGCUCGUGUCGUGAGAUGUUGGGUUAAGUCCCGCAACGAGCGCAACCCUCGUCUUGUGUUGCCAACAGGUAAUGCUGGGAACUCACAAGAGACUGCCGGGGUCAACUCGGAGGAAGGUGGGGACGACGUCNAGUCAUCAUGCCCCUUAUGUCUAGGGCUGCGCGCAUGCUACAAUGGCCGAUACAAAGGGCUGCGAUACCGCNGGUGGAGCGAAUCCCAUAAAGUCGGUCUCAGUUCGGAUUGAGGUCUGCAACUCGACCUCAUGAAGUUGGAGUUGCUAGUAAUCGCGGAUCA